GGAGUUCAGCCCUUUCUGUGUCCCCUGUUUGGUGAAAUGCAAACAGGGGACACAGAAAGAGCUGAACUCC